rnacentral:rRNA from 1 species
CUUGACACUGAACAUUGAGCCUUGAUGUGUAGGAUAGGUGGGAGGCUUUGAAGUGUGGACGCCAGUCUGCAUGGAGCCGGCCUUGAAAUACCACCCUUUAAUGUUUGAUGUUCUAACGUUGACCCGUGAUCCGGGUUGCGGACAGUGUCUGGUGGGUAGUUUGACUGGGGCGGUCUCCUCCUAAAGAGUAACGGAGGAGCACGAAGGUUGGCUAAUCCUGGUCGGACAUCAGGAGGUUAGUGCAAUG